GCUGGGCCCAGUGGCACAUGCCUGUAAUCCCAGUGACUCAGGAGGCUGAGACAGGAGUAUUAUGAGUUCAAAGCCAGCCUCAGCAAUUUAGCAAGGCUUUAAGCAAACCGGUGAGACCCUGUCUCUA
rnacentral:sRNA from 1 species